AAGAGCGGAAUUGCUAGAUCAUUAGAAAUAGCAUUUUCAUGGACCUGACUCUGCCACAUAUAUUAUAUAGGAGCUGGGAAAGGCUUGAUGAUAAGAUCUCUCUCUAACCUUUCCUGCAUCAGAGAUUGGCUCCCACAUGU